GACUUCAAUUUAAUGAUUGUCUACCUAAUGCAGUUGACCUUUAUAAUGUCUAUCAGGAACAAGGUCAGGUAAACUAAAAGGCAGGUAUAAAGAAAGCUAAAACAGACUGGGAUUCAGCAAAAAAACAAAAAGGCAGGAACAGAGGCAGGAUGCUUUCAGAAACUGGCAGAAAAUCAACCAGCAACCUCAGCAGGGCAGGAGGCAAGCUCAGGCACAAUGUGGAAUCUCCUAUUGCUGACCCUCCUCCUCACAUUCAUAUGCAAUCACCAACUGGGACCUUGACUAGGACCAAUCACUGCUGUAAGCCUUAUAAGGGAAGUGACAUGAAUACAGGGAAACCUUGGAGGAAGAACAGGAUGGGAAGAUUCUGUAUUUUUCCAGAAUAAAAUUAGUGUAAGUUGUG